rnacentral:rRNA from 1 species
GAUGAACGCUGGCGGCGUGCCUAAUACAUGCAAGUCGAACGCAUUGUGGUUGAAAUGAUAUGAAGAACUUGUUCAGAUUUGAUUUUCAACAUUGCAAUGAGUGGCGAACGGGUGAGUAACACGUGGGAAACCUACCUCUUAGCAGGGGAUAACAUUUGGAAACAAAUGCUAAUACCGUAUAAUAAUUAAAACCGCAUGGUUUUAGUUUAAAAGAUGGUCUUGCUAUCACUAAGAGAUGGUCCCGCGGUGUAUUAGUUAGUUGGUGAGGUAAUGGCUCACCAAGACAAUGAUACAUAGCCGAGUUGAGAGACUGACCGGCCACAAUGGGACUGAGACACGGCCCAUACUCCUACGGGAGGCAGCAGUAGGGAAUCUUCCACAAUGGACGAAAGUACUGAUGGAGCAACGACCGCGUGUGUGAUGAAGGGUUUCGGCUCGUAAAACACUGUUGUAAGAGAAGAAUGACAUUGAGAGU